ACAAUAAAAUCCCAAAAACACCAAAUCUAAUUUCCCAAGGUCUUCAUCAUCAUAAUCAAGAGUCCAGAAAUAAUCAAAAUCCAGAAAACAAGAAAAAGAAACCCAUAAGUGCUGGUGGUGGCCAGGAAACCCAGAAAUGGUGGUGGUGUUGUUCCUCUUCCUCACUGUAGCAUAGAUCUUCUUUCUUUUUCCUCUUAUUUUCCCCACUGCUUGCAGCAAGCUCGAUGCUACCAGCCAGGGUCAUGGACGAACAAUAUAAUUUCCAGAUCUGGGACGAACGAUAUCAUUUCCAGUGUAUUCCCAAAUCCAGAAACCCAUGAACAACCUCGUUCCUAACAGAAGCUUCGAUGGCGAUGAUUAACCCAGAUUUGUUGCUCAAGAAGGUCUCAUCCUCACAAAGGCACGGCCUCUUUUGUCGUUGAUCUUCAAUCUCGCUACCAGCCCAAUGAUUCAGAUCUAGGAUUUUGCAGGUGAGGGUGAGGUUUGAAGGGAGGGAAGAGGUGAAAUGAUCCGUUUUAAAAUAAAAGUGGGGACAAAAAAAAAAAGACAGAGAAUAGAAGAUUAAAAAAAAAAAAACAAGAAAAACAAAAAUCUAACCUUUAAAAAACCCACCGUAACCCCACCCUAUUCCUAAUGAAAAAAAAAAAAAAACAAUUCCCUAAUUCUUAAAACAAAACCACGUAAUACUACCCCAUCUACCCACUACUUUUCUAUCUAAACCUUAUGUUCUCUCUCGUUUUUGCUCUGCAAUUGAUUAUCUCCCACAAAUUCUUGUUCAUCUUUUGUUCUUUUUCACUACAAGUUCCACACCAAAUUUCCGAUUCCAAUAGACACCCAUGAAGGAAUAUUUUGGCAUCCAAGUGGAAGUGCUUUUGGGAUAAUUUUGAGGGUUAGGGUUUGUGCUCUAAGGAAGGAGAAGAGUAUCCACUCCUACAGAAUUGUUCUUCCUAUUUCAUUGAGAUCUGCCGGUUAGUGGUUCGUUUGGUUGUCGCGCCGUUGUAGAGAGCAAUCGUGUUGGUUCUUCGUAACUGCUUGCCAGGCUAAGGUGAUAGUCUGUGCGCCGGUCACGGCUUAGGAUUUUGGGUCGUGACAAAGUUGGUAUCAGAGCUUUGGUUGUAGGUCCUAUUAGCUGCAGACAUGAGGUUGUAAUGGAAUCUUGCUAGUAAAUUGUGAACCGCGGCACAACUUACUUCAAAGAUGCUAUUAACGCCUCAUGAGAGUCCUAAAGUUGUUUCCAAAGUGUGAUUUGAGUUUGUUCCUCAUUCACUGAGUUCCGAGUCAUGUGUUAUGUUUGAUGAAUAUUCUUUGUUCAGUUAGGAUGCCACCUAAAUUAGGAUUUCUAUUAUAAGACGAUUAGCUUGUUAGAACCCUCCGUAAGACAUUUGGGGUCAGUAGCGUUCGACAGUGUAGUGCAAGCCAAAGGCGAUAGACGUUGGUUGUUUGUUGACGUAGGAAAUGUUAAGGUACUUAUAUCGAGACAAUGAAAUUUAUGAAUGAUAGAGCUUGCAAUUGGCUUGAAGGGAUUACAACAUGAUGUGAAUCUAUGUGUUGGAGUUGUUAUUGGGAGCGUCAACCAAGUGUUAGAAAAAGGGAGCAACAACAAGUGAGUGUCAUUGGAGAGGUUGAUGUCACAUUGAUUGUUCACGUUAAACUUAAUUAUCAUGCUUUUCUAGUACUAGUCAAGGGUGGAUCAUAGAGGUUUAUUGAUGCUUUUGAGAGUAUAUGGAGAGCACUUGGAUGCUCAUGCAUAAGGGUGGCAAAGUUAACGUCAUUCAGUUGGAGGAUUGUAACACAUGAUUGAUCUAAUGACUUUAUGGUAUGUGAGCGAUUGGAUCGGCUUUGAUAACGUGAAUAAAUUUUCCUAGAAACUCAUAAAUCGCUUUUUUUCUAAAUUGUUAGAGAUGACUUUGCAUAUAAGUUUGAGCUGCUGAAGAAAAUUGAUAAUAAUUUCUCAAGUACUCUCUAGAGUAAUUCUAGUAGAUAAUCUUAAAGCUUUAUGUAGAGUCAUAGACUAGAUUUAAA